rnacentral:rRNA from 1 species
GACGAACGCUGGCGGCGUGCUUAACACAUGCAAGUCGAACGAAGAGCGACGGAAGCUUUCUUCUUUCAGUCUUCGUGGCGCACGGGUGAGUAACGCGCAAUCAACCUGCCCUUCUCAGGGGGACAACAGUUGGAAACGACUGCUAAUAACGCAAACGAACUAACCUCGGCAUCGAGGAUAGAUGAAAGGUGGCCUCGACUUGUAGGCUAUCACUGAGGGUGGGGAUUGCGUCUGAUUAGCUAGCUUGAGGGGGAACGGCCCACCAAGGGGACGGUCAGUAGCCGGUCUGGGAGGAUGGACGGCCACAUUGGGAAUGGGACACGGCCCAGACUCCUACGGGAGGCAGCAGUGGGGAAUCUUCCGCAAUGGACGAAAGUCUGACGGAGCAACGCCGCGUGAGUGAUGACGGCCUUCGGGUUGUAAAGCUCUGUUAAUCGGGACGAAAGGCCUUCUUGCGAAUAGUGAGAAGGAUUGACGGUACCGGAAUAGAAAGCCACGGCUAACUACGUG